GUCAAAUCAUCAUGCCCCUUAUGUCCUGGGCUACACACGUGCUACAAUGGCCGGUACAAAGGGAAGCGAAGCCGCGAGGCCUAGCGGAUCCCAAAAAGCCGGUCUCAGUUCGGAUUGCAGGCUGCAACCCGCCUGCAUGAAGUCGGAGUUGCUAGUAACCGCAGGUCAGCCAUACUGCGGUGAAUACGUUCCCGGGCCUU
rnacentral:rRNA from 1 species